GACGUAGGGGGCAAGCGUUGUCCGGAAUUAUUGGGCGUAAAGCGCUCGUAGGCGGAUCGGUAAGUCUGUGAAGAAAGACCCGGGCUCAACUCGGGGAACGGCAUAGAUACUGCUGAUCUUGAGACAGUCAGAGGAUGAUGGAAUUCCAGAUGUAGCGGUGAAAUGCGUAGAUAUCUGCAGGAACACCCGUGGCGAAGGCGGCUCGCUGGACCGCAACUGACGCUGAGGAACGAAAGCUAGGGGAGCAAACAGG
rnacentral:rRNA from 1 species